UCACUAUACAUUAAACUAGAAACUCGUAACCAACUUGGGGUAUUUGGCAAAGCGAAUAAAACCUCAUUCCACAGUGGGCUAUGCCACUUAUUGUGGUUCAUUACUGCCUUCUGGCCUACAAU
rnacentral:snoRNA from 1 species